rnacentral:rRNA from 1 species
UACAGAGGGGGCAAGCGUUGUUCGGAAUUACUGGGCGUAAAGGGCUCGUAGGUGGCCAACUAAGUCAUACGUGAAAUCCCUCGGCUUAACCGGGGAACUGCGCCUGAUACUGGUUGGCUUGAGUUUGGGAGAGGGACGCGGAAUUCCAGGUGUAGCGGUGAAAUGCGUAGAUAUCUGGAGGAACACCGGUGGCGAAGGCGGCGUCCUGGACCAAUACUGACACUGAGGAGCGAAAGCCAGGGGAGCAAACGGG